rnacentral:rRNA from 1 species
GUGGGGAAUAUUGCGCAAUGGGCGAAAGCCUGACGCAGCAACGCCGCGUGGGGGAUGAAGGUUUUCGGAUUGUAAACCCCUUUCGACCGGAACGAAUCCCCUCCUGGUAAAUAAUCAGGAGGAUCGACGGUACCGGGAGAAGAAGCCACGGCUAACUCUGUGCCAGCAGCCGCGGUAAGACAGAGGUGGCGAGCGUUGUUCGGAUUUACUGGGCGUAAAGCGCACGCAGGCGGUUUGGUAAGUCAGGGGUGAAAGCCCACAGCUUAACUGUGGAACUGCCUUUGAUACUGCCUUUCUAGAGUGCAUGAGGGGGAAGCGGAAUUCCGAGUGUAGAGGUGAAAUUCGUAGAUAUUCGGAGGAACACCGGUGGCGAAGGCGGCUUCCUGGCAUGUAACUGACGCUCAGGUGCGAAAGCGUGGGUAGCAAACAGGAUUAGAAACCCGGGUAGUCC